AUUGAACGCUGGCGGCAUGCCUUACACAUGCAAGUCGAACGGCAGCACGGGGGCGAACCCUGGUGGCGAGUGGCGAACGGGUGAGUAAUGCAUCGGAACGUGCCCCGUACGCGGGGGAGUAACCAGUCGAAAGAACUGGCUAAUACGCAUACGCUCCACGGAGGAAAGACAGGGGAGUCGCAAGACCUUGCACUAUGGGAGGCGGCCGAUGCCCGAUUA
rnacentral:rRNA from 1 species